CCGGAACCCAGCCUCCAAACACAUAUAACCUACAACAAGAAGAUAAAGAAGAAAAAUUGAGACAGUAGGAGGGAUGUUCCAGCCUUUAACCCCAGACUGGACCUGCAGCUCCAGCUCAUAGAAGUCAUCUAAAUACCUGCAUAGAGACACAAAUAAACAUCAUCCAUGUAUCAACUGAGCUACAUUAAGUGCUCACCUGCAGUUCAUAGAGGCUGUUGGUAUACUGUCCGAAUUCAACCAUCCCUCC